AGGGUAUGUUGAAAAAUUCCAAUCGUAUUUUCUCCCUCAACUUCAAAAAUCAUUUCAAAAUCAUCCUACAUCACUGCAGAAGUUCAGACCCAGUCUUUGCAAGGUGAACAUGCAAAAAAGAUCAAACACGCUUAACAAAAAAGGUAAAACAGCGAUACAGGACGAUUUCGAAGUUGAGGGAAAACAUGAAAUGGGAGUUUUUCGACAUACCC